rnacentral:rRNA from 1 species
UUUUUUUAGAAAUAAAUUUAAUUUACAAAUUUUUGAUUUUUUAGUUAUUUAUUUAAUUGAAAAAUUUAUUUAUUUGAAUAUUUUAAGGGAUAAGCUUUAAAAUAAAUUAUUAAAAAUUAAUAGUGGUAAUAUAAAAUGUAUGCUUAGAAUUAGCAAUCAUUAUAAAGUUUGUUAUAAAUUAUUUUAUAAAUUAUAUUAUUUAUUAUAUUUUAAUUUAUUUAUAAAAAUUUUUUUAUGAAUUAUAUAUAAAAAGGAAUAAUGAUAGAAUUAGUAUAUUUUUUUGUUUAUGUAAUUUUAUAUGAUAAGUUUGUAUAAAGAACUCGGCAAAAAUUUUACCCGCCUGUUUAACAAAAACAUGUCUUUUUGAGUUAUUUUUAAAGUCUGACCUGCCCACUGAAGUUAUUUAAAUGGCCGCAGUAUUCUAACUGUGCAAAGGUAGCAUAAUCAUUAGUCUUUUAAUUGAAG